rnacentral:lncRNA from 1 species
UCAAAUUCAACUCACUUAUAUGACUUCUCUAACUUGGUUACGUGAGAACUUUAGUAUCUUCAACAAAUUCAACAUGAUUUCAUGGCAAUUCAACAAGAUCUCAUGAGCAUCUUCAAGAAUUCAAAUGUGAAUUCUUAGUAUCCUGGUAACGUGAGGCUUCUCUAAAUUCACCAAAAUGAUUUGCUCAUCUCUACUAAUUCAAGAGAUGAAGCUUCAGCAAACUCAUUCAUGAAAGACUAGAUAUUAGCAAUGUAAUUUUACUACAAAAUUCAUACGAGACUAAAUAAUGUUAUAGCAACGGGAUUUUGCGGUUCUAAGGGAGUACGGUGCAAUCUUUCUCAAGAAUAUUAUACGGAUUUUUUCCUACUCCGAUCUUGCCGAUUACAUGUUAUCACAAUUGACGUGUAUUAGAGGGAUUGUCAAGAGAACCGACUCAGGUAUGUUAAGGCUAUCCCUUCUUUCUUUCUGGCAUGAUUCAUACGACACAAACGAAACGAACAAAUGCACAACUUCCAAUAAAUGCACAACUUCCAGCAAAUGCACAACUACAGUAAACACAAAAGCCAUAAUGGUUGGAUGCCUCAUGGUCCUCUCUGAAACGCCAACUACCAAUGCCUUUGUAUUUCUUCUGACCUGUGUGUUAGUGAUCAACAUUUUAAUUGGCAUGUUUGUUUUGAGGCAUAUCAAAUCGCCAGUUCUGAACUUGAUCAUAUUUCCUGUCACAUAAACUUUUUCAGGUGGUGCAGUUUCCAGAUCCUGAAAUAUUCAUUGAAGAAGCAUCUCAAGGGAUUUAAGUAUUUUCUGAAUUAAAAAAUAAAAGCUAUCAAGGCAACUAAGUAGAGCAUAGUUAUGUAAUGAUAACUUGAUGAUCUAGGAUAAAUAGAAGGAAACUGCCCAUAUUCCCCUCCUAAGAAAAAAGUAAAAGAGACCACGAAAAAAGAAAUUAGCAGAAAGAAAAGGUAAAUGAAAGAAAUAUAAUUUAGGAGCGAGCCUUCUCUACAGAUCUUCUGUUGCCAAGAAGGCUUCAGGGUUUCCAAUUAGCUUAUGUGCUUUUAAUUAGAUAAUAAUCUUUUGUACAGCUCAUAAUAUUAAUGAAUAGAUGUCACGACCCGAAAUUCCC